UACGUAGGUGGCGAGCGUUGUCCGGAUUUACUGGGCGUAAAGAGCGCGCAGGCGGUCGUUCAAGUCGCGUGUGAAAGCCCCCGGCUCAACUGGGGAGGGUCACGCGAUACUGAUCGACUCGAAGGCAGGAGAGGGAAGUGGAAUUCCCGGUGUAGUGGUGAAAUGCGUAGAUAUCGGGAGGAACACCAGUGGCGAAGGCGACUUCCUGGCCUGUUCUUGACGCUGAGGCGCGAAAGCUAGGGGAGCGAACAGG
rnacentral:rRNA from 1 species